rnacentral:misc_RNA from 1 species
GAUGAAGAACGUAGCGAAAUGCGAUAAGUAGUGUGAAUUGCAGAAUUCCGUGAAUCAUCGAGUCUUUGAACGCACAUUGCGCCCCCUGGUAUUCCGGGGGGCAUGCCUGUCCGAGCGUCAUUGCUGCCCUCAAGCACGGCUUGUGUGUUGGGCCCCCGUCCCCCCCUCCCGGGGGACGGGCCCGAAAGGCAGCGGCGGCACCGCGUCCGGUCCUCGAGCGUAUGGGGCUUUGUCACCCGCUCUGUAGGCCCGGCCGGCGCCUGCCGACCACCAUCAAUCUUUUUUCAGGUUGACCUCGGAUCAGGUAGGGAUACCCGCUGAACUUAAGCAUAUCAAUAAGCGGAGGA